UGGCUUCCAGCACCGCUCUUUGCCCGCACUGCCCGGCGGCGGGUGAUUGGCCCACAGACCAGGAAGAGGCUGCACCCCCAGGCCGCGGGUUGGCGGGGCGUUGGAAAGCGCGUCUCGGUCGCCUGGCCCGAACCUGUGGAGACUUUCUGCAUCUGUGGAACUCGGGAUUGUGCCCUUGACGGUCUCUCUCUAUGCCUCCCGACGGCGGGAUCUGGAAUCGGGUCCCUAGUCCCUGCGAGAGACGCACAUACCCCUGGCCAAACCCUGGGGACAGCCGAGGUAGAAACCAGAUCUGCCCUUACGUACCAAGGGGAAAACCAGAAGGGACGUUGGAGCCGCAAGCCGUAGAUGACGUGCGUUGAUUGGACAGCGCCGGGUGGACCGGGGAAGAAGUAAGGCCGUGAUUGGUUGUGUGGGAGCGGCCUAUUUGAAAGGCUGAAGGGAAGAAAGCCACUGGUCUGAACGUGGCGGGCGCUGAGGGGAAGUGGGCUCUCUUCUCACCUGGCUUUUCCCGGACAGGACCUAAAAAAGAGGUUUUGACGGGUUGGAGCCACUCCCUUCUGCUACUACAUGAGACCUGUUGUGAGCAGAUGCAGGUGUCCCGGGCUGGGAGGUCGUGAUCUCGUGAUCUUGGGGUGCUGAGAUCGAGUCCUGCAUGGAGCUUACACAGGGUAGUGGAGCCUGCUUGGGAUGCUCUCUGUCCCUCUGCCCCUCCCCCGCUCUCCUGCGCUCUCAAAUAAAUAAAUAAAUGGGCAUACAGGGCUCGCUCCGGCAGUACAUAAAGCAAACUUGGAAUGAUACAGAGAAGACUAGCAUGGCCUCUAUGCAAGGAUGACACGCAGGUUCGUGAAGCAGUCUCCCAGUGAACUGCCACCCUUUCCGGAUGAACUUGGAGGGAAUAACCCUGGAAUCUCCAUGAGGGCAAGACUGUAUUUUCCACUGUUGCAUUUCCAUCUCCUAGAACAUUACAUGGCCUGCGGCUGUUGCCAAGAUACUUGUUGAAUGAAGGAAUGAAUGAUACACCGUGUUUUUGGGGGGAGAGGCAUUCCCACAUAUGGCUGAUGGGAGUGUAAAUUCAUGCAGCCUCCUUGGAAAGUAAUUUGGUAAUAAUUAUUAAAAUUGCAGAUAUAACAUUCAUGUAUUUGUUCAUUAUUUAAUGGGUACGUCGUGUCUGUUUGGGAGGAUGAAAAUGUUCUGGAAAUUGUGGCGGGUUGUCCAACAUUGUGAAUGUACUUAACGGCCACUGAACUUAAAAAUGGUGAAAAUGGUAAAUUUUAUGUAUAUUUCACCACAAAAAAAUCCGCAAUUUUGUAACUUCCACAGCGAUUUAAGAGACCAACUUUUUUUACUUCCAAAACUUAUAUCUUGAACACCAUUUAUAGGAGAUUUGUAUGAAGUGUCCUGUGACUACAAUAUUUUAUUUGCAAGAGUGACUCCUGGUUCGCAGCAGGCAGGACCAGGAACACAGACUUACCACGUGGCCAUAGCUACAAGCAAGCUUACCUGAUCCUGUUGGGACACCUUUUAUUCUAGGUGCUCCUGUCCCUUUCACAGUUUCUUGACCAGUUGUUCUUGGAACUUGGGGGGAAAUGUAUACAUUUCCCAAGAAACGCCGAGAAGGAAUUCCUACAUGUAUACACACUAGAAGGAACCCUAAGAGGCACCAGGAGCACUAGAAGAACAUGAGGCAUGAAAGCUAAGUUAUGAGAGACCUUCAGUGGGAAAACUAAGAUAACUAAGAAAAAAAUUAAAUUAUUGAUUUGCUAAGUCAUGAGGCGUCUUAAAGGAGUUUCAGUGGGGCACUACCUUGUCUAACAGCCGGCUUCGGAGUGAGACCUGGCUUGGAACCCUGGCCCUUAGGUUUACCAGAUAUGUGAUAGUGGACAAGUUAUUUAAUAUAUCAGUGAGCCUCAGUUCCCUCCUCUAUUAAAGGGAAAUAAUACCUACUGUCAGGUGUGCAAUUUAAGGUUACCCAUUGUUUCGUGGAUGCUGGCAGAAGACAAGAGACUUCAGUGUCCUAGACAAAAGACCUUAUUCAUGGCACAACAAGCCACCUGAGUAUCAUGUAUAAAUUGGCUCUUUUGCCUCCUAAGCCCCACAGAGGCAACAGGGAGGGGCCCGAUGGAUGCUGGGCACACUGUGAGUUGCACUAUGGGGGAGGAACAAUGAACUUGGGGAAGCUGGUGUUUUCGGGUAAGUAGUAAGCAAGCUGCUCUUUGUCCCACACAGAGACACUGCUUCUCCCUCACGGUUACUUAAUGCAAACACAGCCCUAAGAAAUGGCUGGGGAGAGAGUAAACGAGUAGUCAGGGCCUUGUCUUUUUGGUUUUUUUCUUUUUUUCUUUUUUUUUUUUUUAGAUUUU